rnacentral:tRNA from 1 species
CAAAUAAUAAUUUAUUUAAAAUAUUAAUUUUGGAAAUUAAUUUAAUCUAAUAAAUUUAGAUUUAUUUGA